GACGAACGCUGGCGGCGUGCUUAACACAUGCAAGUCGAGCGGAGCGGCGAACGGGUGAGUAACGCGGGAGUAACUGCCCCCCUCUCGGGGAUAACAGUUGGAAACGGCUGCUAAUACCGGAUAGUGGGGGAUGACUCGCGGCCUAUGCGCUUGUUGGUGGGGUAGUGGCCUACCAAGGCGACGACGGGUAGCCGGCCUGAGAGGGCGACCGGCCACAUUGGGCUGAGGUACGGCCCAAACUCAGACGGGAGGCAGCAGGGGGGAAUAGUGCACAAGGGGGGAAACCCGGAUGAAGCAACGCCGCGUGCGGGAGGACGGCUUUCGGGUUGUAAACCGGUUUCAGCAAUGACGCGGUAGUGGCAGAAGAAGCACCGGCUAACUACGUGCCAGCAGCCGCGGUAAUAC
rnacentral:rRNA from 1 species